CUACGGGCUGCUGCAGGCGAGAAAACUUUGCAAUGUGCGAAAGCACGACAAGGUUAAUCCGAGUGGUUUCUGCUAAAGGAACCUUUUGACAGUCCUAGAAACACUGUUGAAUAAGGGGUGGGCAAGUUCUGGUGUCAGCCGCCGCGGUAAAACCAGCACCUCAAGUGGUCAGGAUGAUUAUUGGGCCUAAAGCAUCCGUAGCCGGCUCUGUAAGUUUUCGGUUAAAUCUGUACGCUCAACGUACAGGCUGCCGGGAAUACUGCAGAGCUAGGGAGUGGGAGAGGUAGACGAUACUCGGUAGGAAGGGGUAAAAUCCUUUGAUCUAUUGAUGACCACCUGUGGCGAAGGCGGUCUACCAGAACACGUCCGACGGUGAGGGAUGAAAGCUGGGGGAGCAAACCGGAUUAGAUACCCCAGUAGUC
rnacentral:rRNA from 1 species